UUUUCACUAAUUGAAAAGUCAGGCUCAGGCAGCCCUUCUGCAGAGCUCUCUUCUCUGGCUGUGUGGUGUCCUUGCCGAGCUCCAGACCUGCCCACCGUGACUCAACAAAUGGCUUUUCUCUGCAGGGAGAGUGACAAAGCAGCUGUUUUGGUGUCCUUGGGGCCUGGCUCAUAGAGGUCAAAAUGGAUCAUUCUAAGGUCAUUUUUAUCUUGAAAUGUUGGAGGGGAACAGAGCAUUACACAAGAGCAGCCUCAACCUUCAGAAUGAUCAACAGCAGCUUCAAUGUCCAUGAGUGUCCGUGAGAGCUGAUGCCUGCUUGUGAAACUCUCUGUCUCCACAUGAAGAAGAGUGAUUCUUCCAAAGAUCCAAAUGUUGGCCACGUUUUGGGUGUGUUGAGGAGGAUCUUCAUCAACUAUAAGGAACCAAGGGGAGCUUCCAAAUGACAAUUUUAACCUGGCCUCUGUUGUUAUGAAAGAUCUUUGAGUCCUCACACAUGGUGCUAAGUCACCAGAGAGAGUAAUUUUGAAUGUAAGUGGCAACCCUCCCAGGUUUUUAUAGGGUAUUAAUUUUGGGGGUGGUGGUGGAAAAAAAAAGUGUGUACUCUGUGGUUUACUUUGGACUGACAGUGUUUACUCUGCCUGUUUGUAGAAAUAAACAGGAAAACCC